rnacentral:rRNA from 1 species
UACGUAGGGGGCAAGCGUUGUCCGGAAUCAUUGGGCGUAAAGAGCAUGUAGGCGGCCCGAUAAGUCCGCUGUGAAAGUCCAGGGCUCAACCCUGGGAUGCCGGUGGAUACUGUCGGGCUCGAGUCCGGAAGAGGAGUGUGGAAUUCCUGGUGUAGCGGUGAAAUGCGCAGAUAUCAGGAGGAACACCGGUGGCGAAGGCGGGUCUCUGGGAAGUAACUGACGCUGAGAAGCGAAAGCGUGGGUAGCGAACAGG